CAGACUGGAACUCUCUCUGUAGUUUCUCCAGGGGGUGAUAACAGCAAGGCUUCUUCCCUCUGGAAACAUACAAUUUUGCCAAAUUAAUAAAAGCAUUGAAGAGGAGAAGCAGCAGCAGAUGCAGGAUUUAUGGUCCCAGUUCCUGACUUUUUAAUGAGAAGGCUGACAGCAGGUUUCAGUCAUUCCUGCUAUGGCCAGGCUAUCAUCUCUCACACUUCAAGUCAUGGCACUUCAUCUACUCUGAAUAUUACUCAUUCUGGGAUCUGGAGGUAGUUCAGUCUUCUGGAGGGUCCAGUUAACACCCAGCCUCAAGACUUUUGAGAAGCAGAAAAUGAAGGGAAUGUGAUGCUGUGGACCAGAGUAAGUUGCAUCCGUCUUGGUCCUUUCUUUCCUUGGAAAGCAUGACAUCGCUUCCUUUCCUCCCCUCUUCAAUCAACUGUUUGGCCUUAUCAACACACUUCAGUGCAGUGGCAUAGCUAAGGCUCACCUGAACCGACUUGAGAACUUCCUGUGGCCACAAAAGAUGAGUAAGAGCACUUAAAGCUGUUCCUCCUGCUAUCCCCUCCUGAUCCACCAAC